UACGAAGGGGGCUAGCGUUGCUCGGAAUCACUGGGCGUAAAGCGCACGUAGGCGGCUUGUUAAGUCAGGGGUGAAUCCUGGAGCUCAACUCCAGAACUGCCUUUGAUACUGGCGAGCUUGAGUCCGGGAGAGGUGAGUGGAACUGCGAGUGUAGAGGUGAAAUUCGUAGAUAUUCGCAAGAACACCAGUGGCGAAGGCGGCUCACUGGCCCGGUACUGACGCUGAGGUGCGAAAGCGUGGGGAGCAAACAGG
rnacentral:rRNA from 1 species